rnacentral:misc_RNA from 1 species
CAAUGUUGGCCUUGAAGUUGAGGCUCUUUACACUUUAGGCAUAAAAAGUCAUCGCUUCACUAAAUGUGCUCCGCUUAGCAUAUGUAAAGGUGCUUUCCUAUUUGUUGUUGCGCUUCAAUCCUUUUGACUAUACUCGGUGUGCUUGGGCUAUGGUGCAUGCCUUAGAGAUGUCGCCCAGCCUUUUGCAUUCAGAGGCGCGGUGCCUCAAGCACAUCUCAGGAGCACCUUUAAUAACACUGAGUAGGAGGGGAGCAUAGAG